rnacentral:rRNA from 1 species
GAUGAACGCUAGCGGGAGGCCUAACACAUGCAAGCCGAGCGGCAUGGGUAGCUUGCUACGCAGAUAGCGGCGUACGGGUGCGUAACACGUGUGCAACCUUCCCCUAUCCGGGGUAUAGCCCUCCUAAAGGAGGAUUAAUACCCCAUAAUAUACCUGCUGGCAUCACUAGAAAUCGAAAACCCUGGUGGCUAGGGACGGGCACGCGCAAGAUUAGAUAGUUGGCGGGGUAACGGCCCAACAAGGCGAUGAUCCUUCGGGGUGCAGAGAGUGAGAUACACCACACUUGUACCACGACACGGACCAGACUCCUACGGGAGGCAGGGGAGUAGAAGAUUGUGCAAGGAAGGGAGAUCUAAUCCAGCCGCCCCGCGUGAGAAACGCCGGCGCUAUGAAAUGUAAACCUCUUUUGUACAAGAACAAACCUAUCUACGUGUAGAUAGCUGACGGUACCGAACGAAUAAGCACCGGCUAACUCCGUG